AGAGUUUGAUUCUGGCUCAGAACGAACGCUGGCGGCGUGGAUAAGACAUGCAAGUCGAACGAGAGAAUUGCUAGCUUGCUAAUAAUUCUCUAGUGGCGCACGGGUGAGUAACACGUGAGUAACCUGCCCCCAAGAGUGGGAUAGCCCCGGGAAACUGGGAUUAAUACCGCAUAAAAUCGCAAGAUUAAAGCAGCAAUGCGCUUGGGGAUGGGCUCGCGUCCUAUUAGUUAGUUGGUGAGGUAACGGCUCACCAAGGCGAUGACGGGUAGCCGGUCUGAGAGGAUGUCCGGCCACACUGGAACUGAGACACGGUCCAGACACCUACGGGUGGCAGCAGUCGAGAAUCAUUCACAAUGGGGGAAACCCUGAUGGUGCGACGCCGCGUGGGGGAAUGAAGGUCUUCGGAUUGUAAACCCCUGUCAUGUGGGAGCAAAUUAAAAAGAUAGUACCACAAGAGGAAGAGACGGCUAACUCUGUGCCAGCAGCCGCGGUAAUACAGAGGUCUCAAGCGUUGUUCGGAAUCACUGGGCGUAAAGCGUGCGUAGGCGGUUUCGUAAGUCGUGUGUGAAAGGCGGGGGCUCAACCCCCGGACUGCACAUGAUACUGCGAGACUAGAGUAAUGGAGGGGGAACCGGAAUUCUCGGUGUAGCAGUGAAAUGCGUAGAUAUCGAGAGGAACACUCGUGGCGAAGGCGGGUUCCUGGACAUUAACUGACGCUGAGGCACGAAGGCCAGGGGAGCGAAAGGGAUUAGAUACCCCUGUAGUCCUGGCAGUAAACGGUGCACGCUUGGUGUGCGGGGAAUCGACCCCCUGCGUGCCGGAGCUAACGCGUUAAGCGUGCCGCCUGGGGAGUACGGUCGCAAGAUUAAAACUCAAAGAAAUUGACGGGGACCCGCACAAGCAGCGGAGCAUGUGGUUUAAUUCGAAGCAACGCGAAGAACCUUACCAAGACUUGACAUCGUAUGACCGCCAUAGAAAUAUGGAAUCUCUUCGGAGCAUAUAGACAGGUGGUGCAUGGUUGUCGUCAGCUCGUGUCGUGAGAUGUUCGGUUAAGUCC
rnacentral:rRNA from 1 species